rnacentral:rRNA from 1 species
UACGGAGGAUGCAAGCGUUAUCCGGAAUUAUUGGGCGUAAAGCGUCCGCAGGUGGCAAUGUAAGUCUGCUGUUAAAGAGUGAGGCUCAACCUCAUAAGAGCAGUGGAAACUACAUAGCUAGAGUGCGGUCGGGGCAAAGGGAAUUCCUGGUGUAGCGGUGAAAUGCGUAGAGAUCAGGAAGAACACCGGUGGCGAAAGCGCUUUGCUAGGCCGCAACUGACACUCAGGGACGAAAGCUAGGGGAGCGAAUGGG